UACCAGCUCUCCGAGUUGUAGGGACGAUUAUUGGGCUUAAAGCGUCCGUAGCUGGCUUAGCAAGUCUCCUGUUAAAUUCAGCGACCUAAUCGUUGAGCCGCGGGAGAUACUACUAGGCUAGGAGGCGGGAGAGGUCGACGGUACUUUCGGGGUAGGGGUGAAAUCCUAUAAUCCCGGGAGGACCACCAGUGGCGAAGGCUGUCGACUAGAACGCGCUCGACGGUGAGGGACGAAAGCUGGGGUAGCGAGCCGGAUUAGAUACCCGGGUAGUCCCAGCUGUAAACUAUGCGGGCUAGGUGUUGGGGUGGCUACGGGCCACUUCAGUGCCGCAGGAAAGCCAUUAAGCCCGCCGCCUGGGGAGUACGGCCGCAAGGCUGAAACUUAAAGGAAUUGGCGGGGAGCACCACAAGGCGUGAAGCUUGCGGUUC
rnacentral:rRNA from 1 species